GACGUCAGGUUGGGUCCAGGAGAAGCUGGAGGAGAUGACAGACACCAGGAUGGGUCUUGGAGAAGCUGGAGAUGAUGGACACCAGGAUGGGUCCAGGAGAAGCUGGAGGAGAUGAGAGACACCAGGAUGGGUCUUGGAGGACCUGGAGAUGAUGAUGGACACCUGGAUGGCUCCAGGAGAAGCAGGAGGAGAUGAUGGACACCAAGGUGAGACCUGGAGGAGAUGGUGGACACCAGGAUGGGUGCAGAGGGGUCAAGCAGAGCUGUCCUGGGUGGAUUUUGCAGGACCAGGAGGAGCUGGUGGGUGCCAAGGUGGGUCCACGAGGAGAUCUGGGCCACCAAGAGGGGUUGGGCAGGAUCUGGAGGAGGGCAAGGGCACCAGAACAGGUCCAGGAGUUGAUGGUGGACCCCAAAAUGGGUUCAGGAGGACCAGGAGAUGAUGAACCCCAAGAUGGCUCCAGAAGAAGAUGCUGGACCCCAAGAUGGCUCCAGGAGAUGAUGGUGGACCCCAAGAUGGGCCCAGAAGAACCAGGAGCAGAUGGGAGGUCCUGGGACAGGUCCAACAGGGUCGGGCAGACCCGGUGGGUUCUGGGACAGGUCCUGGUGGUACCAACAUGUGUGGGACAGGAUGGAAGUGGUGACACAUGGGGACAUCCACCCCACCCAGCUCUUCCAGGAUGGACAAUCAGCCACCAUGACCCCCCCCUGGGCCACCACUCCCACGGGGACCUCCCAGGUCUCUUUCCUGUGGGGGACAAUUGUCACGGUAGUCCCCUGGUGGCCAGAUGAACUUCUCCCACCUUCCCAACCCCAUGGAGACCCCUCAGAGCUGGGAUGUUCCUUGUGGCUCCCCCAGAGAAGAACCAGGCAGUGACACAGCCAGAAGGUCGGGAUGGACCUCAAGGACUUCUCCUUGUCUGGCAGGAAAGGACAGAGACAAUCCCUGGAUGCUCUCUGUCCAUGAGGCCCCGCUGGAGAUGGAGCUCACCACGUGGUGAAGCUGGAGAACCUCAUGGAGCUCCAGGUUCUUGUGGAGAUGGAGCUCCCCACGUGGUGGAGAACCUCAUGGACCUCCAGGUUCUUGGUGGAGAUGGAGCUCACCACGUGGUGGAGAACCUCACGGACCUCCUGGUUCUUGGUGGAGAUUGUGCCACCACCUGGGGACUUUGACCCUCGGAGGGGACGGGGUGGCGGGGUGGGGACGGCGCGGUGGCAGCCGCUAUAGGACGCCCUCCAUGAAGCUGGUGUCCAGGUGCUGGAUGAGGACACGGAUGAAGGACAUCUCCUUGCGCGUGUUCUCGAAGAUGAUCCGCGGGUCGUCCGACUG
rnacentral:lncRNA from 1 species